rnacentral:tRNA from 1 species
AGUAGGAUGGCUGAGGUAUAAAAUAGGCAAUAGAUUGUAAAUCUAUCAAGGAGUAGAACUCUCUUACUA